ensembl:lncRNA
UCAUGUAAUAAAUUUAUUAUAUUUUGUUACAUUUUCCACUUUUCUCUUAAUUCCAACUGUAUACUAUAUAAUCAACCGCUGUUUCAGAAAUAAAAUGUUUCAAACAUAAAAAUAUAAAUUCUGCUUCUUAAAAGUGCACACACUUUGAAUAAUAAAACAUACAAAUAAAUAACAGAAAUCAGUGACACAUCUCAUGCACUUGUUCUAAAAUAAAUUUAAAAUGUACGAUACACUUUUCUUCCAGCCUCUAGGAAAGACAUCCUGCCUUCCGUGUUACUGUACAACAAAAAACAACACAGAAAUCACUAUCCACGGUGCAUGAAUAAUACCAAAGCACUUUGUGUACAGUGAUAUGACAUGCAGCUUUUAAGACAACUAUAGAAAUUCCAGUGUAAAAACUGAAGAGUUCAAUCAAGAAACGAUUUGUGUCAAUGGGGCUUGAAUUCAAUUUUAACCAGUGGUGAGAGGCACAGUUGGUGAGCAAACCUCUAUGAAACACAAACACGUAUCUGAAAGGCCUACAAAGAGAACUUCAGCUUUGGAAAUACUGUAACUGCUUUUGCAUUUGGUAUGACACCACACCGUUUAUAAUAGCACCUAGGAAAUUUCAUAUUGCAUUUGAACGAUUGCAACAGAUAUCGCUAUUCUGGGUGGCCUUUCUAAAGAAACGUUUCCAACUUGCAUGUUUACUUGUAUCUUUAUUCCUUAAAAUGUUGAAACCACCAGGUAAACUGUGGUGGUGUUUUGUAGGCAGCAUGAGGGUCGACAGAAUAAAACCAUCUGAGAUUACUUUGAAGGUGUUGUAGUGCAUUCAGCUCACCACAGAUUAAAACUAAAUUUUAUUUGCCUCCACAGUUAACACAGAGUGCCGAAUUCUGGGAUGUGUAUUAUUGAUGGUAAAAAAAUAAAAAUAAAAAUAAAAAUAAAUGAAGAAAUAGCAACAAGGGUUUAAAAAAAAAUAAGACUCUAAAUAAAAUGUUUCACAUUCAUUUUCAAACUGAAAAAAGAAUUCCUGAAACUACAUUCUGGAUAAGAACUAUCCUAGAGAACGAGCAAAAGUAGGAAAUUCGGCGGCAGCCUGGGGUUUGCUACUGUAAUUCCUACAAAAAGGCAAUCAUUCUAUCAAAAGCAGGGACAGGUUUUCCAAGGCUAGGAAAGUUGUUUCUUAUUUUCUUCUUUGACAAUUUCUAGCUCGGAGUGACUUCCCUAUUCCUCCAUGGGGAAAAGGCCCUGGGAGACAGCCUGCUCCGGCAACUAAGACCACCAAUUCCCAGCAGACUGGCGAGUGCUAGGCCAUUCACAACAUGCUCCAAGCUCCCAAACUGGGCCUUGAAUCAGAAAGGCCCUAUUUCAAAUGGGAGUUUGGUAUCAGUAUCUCUCAAUUCUUUUUAUUCUUAUUUUUUUGCCUCUCCUAUGCAACUGAGGAAUCGGAAUCACUCCUGAGUAAUUCAAAUGGCAGUGAUUCUCGCCAUAAUUCUCAGGAAAGGGAUAACAUAUCAUAGUGGUUCUCAAUCUGACUGCAAAUUAGAAAAACCCAGAAGCUUUUAAAAUACAUGCUAAUUCCUGGAGCCCACCCCUACAUGAAUUAGAUCAAAAGCUAGGGACUGGGACCCAGGCACUGUAUUUUUAAUAGUUCCCCAGUUGAUUCUAGUCAAUGUGGGUCUUCACUAUCUCAGACAAGUCAUUCAGAAGAGGCUUAAAACAAUCUUGAGAAUACAUGUGUGAGAUUCAAAAUACCUCUUAAGUCUGCUGUGCACCCCUUCUCCCCAAAAUUGAGAAACACUAGAUUUAAAUAAAUGUAAGAUGGAUCUAGAACUGAAUCCACUGCACAACACUACCAGAAAUUCCAUGGGCUUAGUCUAAUUGUGAUCAGUGGCUGGGAAGCCCCAAAGCUUUUCAAAAUAGCUCUAAGUCUCUACAAAAGCAUCUUUAAAUUCUUAACACUAUUAGAAGCCACAUUCUUUCCUUGUGACCACAAUAGAAUCCUUGAAGAUAUAAAAAAUUAAAAUCUAUAGAAAAUGGCAGGUUAUUUUUAGAACAAAAUACUUUAAGAAAGUCUUCAGGCUAAAUACAGUAUGUACACCAACGAUGUGUGUUCAACAUAUCCAAUUCCACUUCUGCUUAAAAAACACUUUACAAUCUCACCAAUGAUCAGAAAAACAGUAAAGGGAAAUAUAUGCAGAGCAAAACAAGAAGUCACAUUCAUGCUCUUCCACACAAUGACGAGUAACCCAUAUUUUGAAAAUCACAAAUUUAAAAAUAGAGCUCCAUAAUCUAAGUGUUGCCUUUUUUUUUUUAAGACUUAACAUUUCGUGUCUAUGUUUUAUUGGUUGCUUGCAUAGGUAGUAACAGCAUGCUUUCUGAGUUAUAUGGAGGCCAUGCACAAUUGUUUUUAUUACUUGUGGAAAAAAAUGGUCACACUCAAAAUGCGCCUGCAAAAUACUUUGAAAGUUGAUCAAAAGGCAGUGUGAGACAGUGUUCAUUUAAAUAAAAGCACUGGAUUUCUCCCCAAAACAUGUAGUAGAGUUUAACAAUAAUGUACCUUUUAUGAAAUGAAAGUUAAAGACAGCCUGCACAGUAACUACUUUUUGUGUUUAUGAUAGGCACUGGUUUGUCAGCAAAGUUUGCCUUUCUCAACUACAAAUAAUACAAAGUUCCACGCACCUCCAGAAUACGUGUUUUAUUGAAACUGUGCUUAUGAUUUGCAUACUAUUUCAAAAAUCCAACCCAGAAACACUAGUUACUUUGUAUCCAAUAAUUAUAAUAACCUACAUAGGAAACAAAUCACUUCAGCUGUUCAGCAAUUUGUCCGAAUGAAAUGUAACGUCUGAUGCUCCUCUAUGUGAAAUAAAGCAAGUUUAUUUCAAAUAAAUGAACUUUGUUCGCAGCUCUUCUCUACUCCAUUUUCCCUAAAGGCUGCCACUCUUGGUCCCUUUACAUACUGUUGCUAUUUUUCUCAUGAUAGUUAUUUUAGAGGAAUGACAAUGUUACCCUCAAAUCCCAUAUCCAUCUCAUACAAACACAGAUGACCCAAUGUUAACGUAAAGUGACUGUGUAAUGGAUUUUCAACCCCUAAAUAGUAGAGACAGCUCAGUCUGAAAAAGUGGAUGGAAGAGUAAAAUGUCUCCAAAGAUGAAGGGCACUUUUGGUUUCCAGACGGAACAGACUUGCUCAAGAGAACCACAAGCCUUAGCCGAUUUGACCGGAAUCCACGUGAUCUCUUUUUCCAGGAGAACUGUCACUCCAUUUAGGACACCAUCACAUCCCCUGCUUGAUGGGCUGUGCUCCCAGGGCUCCUCAGCUACAGCAAAUCCCUGAAGCUUUCAGUUUUGCCUCUGUGCUCAAAGCAGGCCCUCCAUAAAUGUUUGCAGAAUGAAUGAUGAAAACAAGAUUGCAAAAGGGUGUCAGGCAGCCUCAAAGAUAAUUACAAUAUUUUAGCACACCACAAAUACUCCCACAUCCGUUUCCACUGGUCCAGCAUAUUAUUACUUACUUUCAGUUCAGCUGCUUUCAGGAUGAGAAAAUACAAAAUGGAUGGGAAAUGGUCUAAGACAACUGGAGCCUAAUGGUUUGAGUUUCCACAUUAUCUAAGGGAUUACCAAGACAAGGUGUAGGGCUGUCUUAAGGAAUGAUAUGGCCUCAGUGCAAUGGAUGUUUACAAGAAAUCAAGAAUAAAACUUUUUUUAAAAAGCAAAC